rnacentral:rRNA from 1 species
AUUGAACGCUGGCGGAAUGCUUUACACAUGCAAGUCGAACGGCAGCACGGGGGCAACCCUGGUGGCGAGUGGCGAACGGGUGAGUAAUACAUCGGAACGUGCCCAGUCGUGGGGGAUAACGUAGCGAAAGCUACGCUAAUACCGCAUACGAUCUACGGAUGAAAGCGGGGGAUCGCAAGACCUCGCGCGAUUGGAGCGGCCGAUGGCAGAUUAGGUAGUUGGUGGGGUAAAGGCUCACCAAGCCUUCGAUCUGUAGCUGGUCUGAGAGGACGACCAGCCACACUGGGACUGAGACACGGCCCAGACUCCUACGGGAGGCAGCAGUGGGGAAUUUUGGACAAUGGGCGAAAGCCUGAUCCAGCCAUUCCGCGUGCAGGAUGAAGGCCCUCGGGUUGUAAACUGCUUUUGUACGGAACGAAACGGCCUUUUCUAAUACAGAGGGCUAAUGACGGUACCGUAAGAAUAAGCACCGGCUAACUACGUGCCAGCAGCCGCGGUAAUGUG